CCAGCCGUGGUGAAUCUCUACCGCCUUUUUUCUCCUAGCAAGUCGCGACUUUCUACGCGCUCCAGUAUUUCUAUGCAAUGUUCCCACUUUUACAGCCUUAUCAAUGACUGAGUAUGCCUCUGCAAUUAGUUUUUCAAUGGGAAGGACCUCCUCUGCUUGUGCAUCGGGUUUCUUCCUCAAAUCAUCUAAUGCUUCCAACACCUUCUUCAUGCGGGUUCCAAUUUCAGACUUGCGUGCUUUAUUGUAAAUCCGCCUUUUCUCAGCUUGGCGAGCUCUCUUUUCUGCAGAAUCAGCUUUUUUAUUUGGAGCCGCUUCACAAACGAUUAAAUGCCCAAUUGGCCUUCUAACUCUGCUCAUUGACAAGCACCCUUCGUUG
rnacentral:misc_RNA from 1 species